GGACUAGACAAGGCUGCCCACUUUCUCCC
rnacentral:piRNA from 1 species